rnacentral:lncRNA from 1 species
AGUUGCUUUUCAAGAGAAUAAAAUUGCAUGUCUAGAGGAGAGGUUAGUUGUUAUGUUGUUGAUAUCUGCCUUAUACAAUCAGUGUAUGACUAUUGUUCAUAUUUGGAAUCUCUUGUAUUAUAAUUGAUUGUGACGUCUAGAACGUACAAGGGAGACUCUAUCCGUUCGGCGGUCUGUUGGUGUGCCCAAACCCAACCAAAUAGGCUGGACUCGGGGCGUGACAUUUUGCAAAAAUACUUUUAAAAAUAUAAUAGCACCAAAUUAAUCUCUAUAAUCUCUAUAUUCUCUCAUUGAAACGUAUACUACUCUACUUCAAGUAAUUUAUCCCUCUUGACCAAACUCCCAAUAAAUGAAAUUACACACAUUAUUAAUUUUCGUGCGAAAUAGGAUUCAAGCGCAGGAUCAGAUGCUGAAUUGUAAACCAUGAUGGCGUGUUUAUCAAAAGUUGGAUACCAAUUCCUGAUAGGGAUGCAAAUGAAUCCGGAUUGGCCGAGCUCUUCUCACUGUCCGUUUUGAAUGGAGUAGUAAGCAAAGGUCAAAAAUGAAAAAAAAACGUUAAUCCGUUCCGAUUCGUUAAGAAAACGAAACGGGAGGUGAAAGACUCCGUUCUUUUUUUUAAUUUAUCGUGAACCACCGAAAAAUCAAUCAAAAUCUAUUGGGUUAAUUUUAUACAGGCUCAUGCAAACAGAGUGAAUUACAAAUAUAUCCCUACAAACUUCAACUUUCAUAUGUUGUACUGAUAAAAGUCCUAAUAUUUUCAACCAUGUCUUUUUGAUUUGUUAACGUUAAAACACUGUUUAUAUUAUAAGUGAAAUGAUUUUUUUACCAUCAUAAAUAUGUCCCUCCUCAACUGUUAAUUGAAGAGAGAUAAAAAUAUCAAUUCACCUUAUUGACCAAUGAGAAUUAAAUAUUUUAUCUAUUAUUAACUAAUUUUUUCUAACGAAUUUUACCGGCAGGAACAUUUUUGAAAAAAUCAGAAUUUUUAUAGCGACAGUAUAUAAAAGUUAAACUUUAUAGGAAUAUAUUUGUAAAUAUCUAUAUGAAAUUAAUUUAAACCUAUUUAUAUUCUGAACAAAGUGGUGAGUAGGGCUUAAAAAUUAUGAAUCCGCCCUGACCCGCCAAGUAAACGGGGC